GCCCCGAUAGCUUAACUUAAAGCGCCGGUCUUGUAAACCGAAGAUUGCAGCCUAACACCUGCUCAGGGCA
rnacentral:tRNA from 1 species